GAACUCCCAGUUGAGGUCAGAACUGUAGAAUCUCUCCCCACCUUCAAGCGCAAGCUGAAGACACACCUCUUCAAGCAGCACCUCUCCCCAUCCCUCCCUACCUCCCUGUGAACCUUAAUUGUUGUCUCUGUGACUUGCUUUGUGUAUCGGUAUUUUUAGUUGGCUAGGUAAGCUGUGUUUGGAUAAUUAACUUUGGUCACUUUUGCUCUGUUUGUUUGUUUGUUUGUUCCAAAAAAAAUAAAAUAAAAAAAUAAAAAUUGGCCCUCGUCCUUAUCUUUGUUGUACAGGUAGCAGUUGAAAUUGUACUUCCCUCUAGGGUCUUUCAGCGAACUUAUCCCUGGUUAUGGGUAUGCACUUUGUUGUACGUCGCUCUGGAUAAGAGCGUCUGUCAAAUGCCAAUAAUGUAAUGUAAUGUAACAGAUUGCAAGUACUGAUUACUCACUAACACCCUAACUAGCGAAUAGGCUAGGUGAAUGUGCAUUCCAGUGUCUGGUUUACUGAUGCGCAUAUCAAUCAUUUCUAGGCUGCAGUAACAAGGUACAAGGAAAUGCCUUACCUGUUGGUGGUUCGUGUUCCUCCCUGUUUCGGUAUGCAAGUUCCUGUUUGACUUCAAGGUCGCCAUAGAUGACACGAUAGUACACGUGCAUAGCCUAUUGAGGUAUUUAUUUUAAUCUAUCUUCUUUACGGUAUGAGUAGGAAAGCAUUUAGCUUCCAAGGUAAUGUUGUUGUUAAAAUGCGCUACAAUAUUGUGUUUUCCAGAACGCCACACUGCCUGUGCACUAACAAAUGUUUUUCUGCCAUUACAGGACAUUGCUAGCUGCUGUUUUGCUGACAUUAGGGGCGUUAGGGGCGUUAGGGGCGACAUGGCUCAGGCAGUAAGAGCAGUCGUCUGGCAGUCGGAGGGUUGCCCGUUCGAUCCCCUGCCCGGGCUGUGUUGAAGUGUCCCUGAGCAAGACACCUAACCCCCAAAUGUGUGUGUAUGAAUGGGUGAAUGAGAAGCAUCAAUUGUACAGCACUUUGGAUAAAGGCGCUAUAUAAAUGCCAACCAUUUAUUAGAAAUUCGUGUGUAUCGCGUAGGCUCAUUAAAGAGCUGAGGAACGUGGAUAGCGGGGCGCCAGUUCUAUUAAUACGCCGGUAAUGGCUACGUGGAGCGUUUGUGUUUUUAAACCUUUUCCCUGGGAUUCCAUAUUUAUUUCUAGUUUUAAUAUUCGUACUAUUGACAAACCAACUGUUGAUCGAGUUGGGGCUUUGGGGCGGCUUACUGUUUACGUUUGCAGUGCGUGGUUUGGAAUCUGGUUUGGCGUGGAGGUCGCUAGGGCGCCAUCGAAAGUGGGGCUGUUCUUUUACUGUAUGUUGUAGUGUGUGUGUGAGUGUGUGUGUGUGGAAGUAGAAUAUUUGAUUCACCGUGUCCGUAUCUCACCGAUUUACAGUGCAUGUGUAUGUCUGCUGGCAUCUUCACGAGUGAGUGACCUUUCGGUUCCACUUCCACGGACCCGUACCCACAUGCAUCCAGUAGUGCCCCUUAGCGGCAGGGAAGACCUGCUCAUUUUAUAAUUUUGGGGAUCCUGUGGGUUUUUGUGUGGGUUGUUUGUUUUUACUGUGUUUUUAGGAUUGUAAUUAAUAAACUCUGUCUUAUUAUUGAA